GCGUCUCCACGGCCGCCACGUCAUAACUAAAAUUGGAACGAUACAGAGAAGAUUAGCAUGGCCCCUGCGCAAGGAUGACACGCAAAAUCGUGAAGUUUUUAUCACCAUA
rfam:Harpegnathos saltator strain R22 G/1 HarSal_1.0_2.contig2179, whole genome shotgun sequence.